rnacentral:rRNA from 1 species
UGCAAGUCGUACGCUUCUUUUUCCACCGGAGCUUGCUCCACCGGAAAAAGAAGAGUGGCGAACGGGUGAGUAACACGUGGGUAACCUGCCCAUCAGAAGGGGAUAACACUUGGAAACAGGUGCUAAUACCGUAUAACAAUCGAAACCGCAUGGUUUUGAUUUGAAAGGCGCUUUCGGGUGUCGCUGAUGGAUGGACCCGCGGUGCAUUAGCUAGUUGGUGAGGUAACGGCUCACCAAGGCCACGAUGCAUAGCCGACCUGAGAGGGUGAUCGGCCACAUUGGGACUGAGACACGGCCCAAACUCCUACGGGAGGCAGCAGUAGGGAAUCUUCGGCAAUGGACGAAAGUCUGACCGAGCAACGCCGCGUGAGUGAAGAAGGUUUUCGGAUCGUAAAACUCUGUUGUUAGAGAAGAACAAGGAUGAGAGUAACUGUUCAUCCCUUGACGGUAUCUAACCAGAAAGCCACGGCUAACUACGUGCCA